rnacentral:sRNA from 1 species
GCUGGGGUGGUGCUGCUGCUAUGAGCUGCACCAUCGAGAAGAUCCUGACAGACGCCAAGACGCUGCUGGAGAGGCUGCGGGAGCACGAUGCGGCCGCCGAGUCGCUGGUGGAUCAGUCGGCAGCGCUGCACCGGCGGGUAGCAGCUAUGCGGGAGGCGGGGACAGCGCUUCCGGACCAGGUCAGGCAGAGGGUAGGAGUCCAGUGCUCUCGGAUUCUGGGCACUGAAGGGUGGAGAGCGAGAGCUGUGGAUUUCCUUGGAGGAACACCAGGAUGCUUUGGAACUCAUCAUGAGCAAAUAUCGGAAACAGAUGUUACAGUUAAUGGUUGCUAAAAAAGCGGUGGAUGCUGAACCAGUCCUGAAAGCUCACCAGUCUCACUCUGCAGUAAGAAACUUUGAAUAAAUUCGAAGUG